rnacentral:rRNA from 1 species
CACACUGUAAACGAUGAUUGCUAGGUGUGGGGGGCAUACCCUUCCGUGCCGCAGCUAACGCAAUAAGCAAUCCACCUGGGGAGUACGGCCGCAAGGCUGAAACUCAAAGGAAUUGACGGGGGCCCGCACAAGCAGUGGAUUAUGUGGUUUAAUUCGAAGCAACGCGAAGAACCUUACCAGGUCUUGACAUCCAACUAACGAAGCAGAGAUGCGUUAGGUGCCCUUCGGGGAAAGUUGAGACAGGUGG